GGGCACAUGGUGUAGUUGGUUAUCACGCUCGCUUAGCAGUGGAAUUAAUUCCGGACCUGCGAGAGGUGUUGGGUUCAAUUCCCAAUGUGUCCA